rnacentral:misc_RNA from 1 species
GAAAUGCGAUAACUAGUGUGAAUUGCAGAAUUCCGUGAAUCAUCGAGUCUUUGAACGCACAUUGCGCCCCCUGGUAUUCCGGGGGGCAUGCCUGUCCGAGCGUCAUUGCUGCCCAUCAAGCACGGCUUGUGUGUUGGGUCGUCGUCCCCUCUCCGGGGGGGACGGGCCCCAAAGGCAGCGGCGGCACCGCGUCCGAUCCUCGAGCGUAUGGGGCUUUGUCACCCGCUCUGUAGGCCCGGCCGGCGCUUGCCGAACGCAAAUCAAUCUUUUUCCAGGUUGACCUCGGAUCAGGUAGGGAUACCCGCUGAACUUGAGC